UACGUAGGGUGCAAGCGUUGUCCGGAAUUAUUGGGCGUAAAGAGCUCGUAGGCGGUUUGUCGCGUCCGCUGUGAAAACUCAGGGCUUAACCCUGAGCCUGCAGUGGGUACGGGCAGACUAGAGUGUGGUAGGGGGGAUCGGAAUUCCUGGUGUAGCGGUGGAAUGCGCAGAUAUCAGGAGGAACACCGGUGGCGAAGGCGGUUCUCUGGGCAUUACCUGACGCUGAGGAGCGAAAGCGUGGGGAGCAAACAGG
rnacentral:rRNA from 1 species